UACAGAGGUCUCAAGCGUUGUUCGGAUUCAUUGGGCGUAAAGGGUGCGUUGGCGGCGCGGUAAGUCGGGUGUGAAAUCUUGGAGCUUAACUCCGAAACUGCAUUCGAUACUGCCGUGCUUGAGGACUGGAGAGGAGACUGGAAUUUACGGUGUAGCGGUGAAAUGCGUAGAUAUCGUAAGGAAGACCAGUGGCGAAGGCGGGUCUCUGGACAGUUCCUGACGCUGAGGCACGAAGGCCAGGGGAGCAAACGGG
rnacentral:rRNA from 1 species